ensembl:lncRNA
GACGGAUCUUCUGACAGGCCAGACAACGCAGACAACUGUUUAACACCUUCUGUGUCUACAGCAGCUAUUCCAAAGGCCCAUCGAUGCCCUUUGGGAUCCUUAAAAUAUCCCCUUCUGAGGUAAUCAAUACCCAGUAUAAAUGGAGCCCCUGGGCCAGUCACAAUAGGAUGCUUUUGGCAGUCUUUGCCCGUGAGACUUAUUUCAGCCUCCAACACAGUCAACUCUUGGGAACCCCCUGUUACCCCAUGAAUAGAAAUGGGCUUUGUCCCUCGCUGACUCGAGGGCAGUAGGGUACGCUGUGCACCAGUGUCCACCAGUGCCUUAUGUUUCUGUGGUUCUGAUGUGCCAGGCCGUCUAAUGCACACAGUCCAGUACACUCUAUUAUCCCUUUCCCCCUCCUGGCUGGGGGCAGGACCCCUCUAUUUGUUACCUCCUUUGUCCUCCUGACUAUGGCCGUGUCCUGCAUCCACUGGAGCAAGCAUCUUCUUGGAGAAACUCACCUUGGUGGUUGAUCCAUCUUCUAACUCUUUUACUACUUCUUGAAGUGCAGAAGUGGGCUUCUUAUGCCACCUCUUCAUCUCCAUGGUCACUCGGGUAAUGCCACAAGGCAAAACACGACCUGGUUUUACUGCUGUCACUCGCUUGAACAGGAGGAUGUCUCCUGUUGGUAGCCAGUCUAAUAGCUGAGGCGUUGGAUGGUGCAGGUUGGCGUAGAGGGAUUAAAUGUAACUCAAAGUCUUGGAGUUGAUUCAUCAGUUCAUUUAUCCUUCGCCUUCACCUGCAGUCGCUGCUUUGGGUUAAGUGUUCAUAACCCACAGUGGCCAUUGGGUGCCAUUGGGAUCCAUUGGGUGCCAUUGGGAUCCAUUGGGUGCCAUUGGGAUCCAUUGGGUGCCAUUGGGUGCUGUUGGGAUCCAUUGGGUGCCAUUGUGUGCCUUUGGGUGCCAUUGGGUGCCAUUGAUGCCCCAUUGGGUGCCAUUCAUGACCCACAGUGGCCAUUGAGUGCCAUUGGGUGCUGUUGGGAUCCAUUGGGUGCCACUGGGUGCUGUUGGGAUCCAUUGGGUGCCAUUGAUGCCCCAUUGGGUGCCAUUCAUAACCCACAGUGGCCAUUGGGUGCCAUUGGGUGUCUUUGGGUGCCAUUGGGUGCCAUUGAUGACCCACAGAGGCCAUUGGAGGUCAUUGGGUGCCUAUGGGUGCCAUUGGGUGCCAUUGAUGCCCCAUUGGGUGCCAUUCAUAACCCACAGUGGUCAUUGGGUGCCAUUGGGAUCCAUUGAGUGCCAUUGGGUGCCACUGAUGACCCAUUGAGUGCCAUUGAGGCCCAUGGUGGCCUUUGGGUGCCAUUGGGUGCCGCUGGGUACCAUUGGGUGCCAUUGAUGCC